AUAACUGAUAUAUUGUCAGUUAUGUAACUGUUAUCAGUUAUAUAAUUGAUAAUAUAUCAGUUAUAAUGGAAAACCAAAGUCUUUUACCAUAAAUGUAAAGAAACCGUCAAGAACAAGUAAAAAAAAAAGGACAACAAAACAAGUGCAUAUGAAAUUCUGUUUAGAUGCUGUUGCCUGCCUCAAGAACCUCAGAGGUGGACUGUCCUGUCUAGGAGAGACUAUUACAGAAGGGGUGGAAGUCAGACUAGCCCAGAAGUAAAUGGGAGAGAGGCUCCUGUAAGGGACUGGGGACUUCAUGAAGGGUGCCAGGGUCACCCUGAUCAGAGCUCCAGCAGGGAGGAGGGAAAGAAGGAGAAGAGAACAGAGGUUGGGGGCCUGGAACAGGUGAGAUCUUUCCUGCAGCCGAGGAAGCACUUGCUCCCCAAAGCCACCCAGUGUGAGCCUCCCAUGCAGGAGAGCCCUGCAUGGCCCCUGGAGGCCAGGCCAGCAGCCUUGGGUUUAAGAUUCAGCUGUGCUGCUUACUGGCUGUGUGACAUUGAAUGGGUUUUCUUCAUUAAAUUGGGAGUGUCCAGGCCUGCAUCCCAAGACUGUCAUAAGGACAAGAAGCAGCUUCAUACUGAGCUCGUGUAGAGAUUAGCAUCAUCAUCUCCCAAGGGCAUCUGUCCUCCCAGAACUGGCACCUUUAAAAGUGAGCAGCCAUUAAAGACAAUAAUGAUGCAAUCAAGGGCCUCUCUUGUUAUGGGACGGUGCUAAGCCCUGUGCAGGCAACAUCUUGUGAUGUCCUGAGAGUUGUACCCCCAAAGCAUACCAGCAUGGGGACCAAGAGACAGGAUCCAAUGGCCAUCUGUUUCACCAACAGGACAAAAGGAGCUCCCACACUGGUGGAGUAUUCCCAGCAUGUUUUGGCAAUGGGAUGUAGUCAGGCUUCAAGAUCCGUGUCUGCAGAACACAGCUGUGUGGAGACAGGAAGUCAAGAACCAAUGGCCAUCUACUUCACCAGUGGGACCACAGGCUCUCCCAAGAUGGCCCAGCACUCUCAGAGCAGCCUUGGAACUGGCUACACCCUCUGUGGAAGGACAAUCCAGAGAAAACUGCUGCCACGAUAAGAGGGAAUUUCUAUGUCCCUGGAGACAGAAGAGAGAUGGACAGUGACAGGCAUUUCUGGUUUGUUGGCAGAGCUGAUGAUGUCAUCAUGUCCUCUUGGUACUGAUUGGACCAUUUGAAGUGCAGAGUGCACUGACUGAGCACCUAGCAGUUGUUGAAGCAGCUGUUGUCAGUAGUCCAGAUCCAAUGAAAGGAGAGGUAGAGUGAAUGUCACUGAGGAGCAAUUUCAUAGUUUCAAGUUCUGUCCCUUUGACCAUUCUAAGGAGUGAAUCAAUUAGUCAAGCAAUUCUUAUCAUGAGGCACACAUGCAGCAAAAAUGUACCCUGGGCAAUCAACUUUACAAAUGACUUGUGUCCCAAAGGGGAUAUAUUAGGAUUCUUUUGAUAGCAAGUGACAGAAACUCAACUCAAACUGAUUUAAGUUUAAAAAUAAAAAAGAGAAUUUAUUGGCUCACACCUAAGUGAGGUCUUCAGGUACAGCUACAUCCAAGGGUUCCUGUGAAGUUAGCAAAACUUAGCCUCUCUCCAUUUCUUGGUUCUGCUGUUCUUUAUGUUGGCUCCAUUCAGGAAGGUUCUUUCUCCUUGACAGCAACCAAGUCCAGAUGUACACAGGGAAGGAGACUGCCCCCUUUCCAUUAGUUUCAAGCGACUCCCAGAACUGCAUUUGCCUAUCUUAGAUCACAACUCUUAACAACAUGGUCUGGGGAAUGGUAUAUGCUGACCAGCCAGACAUGGAUCACAGGCUCAACAAUGGAGGUAGGAGUGAGUGUCAACCCAACCAGAGACUGUAGGGUAAUUCUCCAUCAGAAAAUCAGGGUACUGUUACUCAACAGGCUGGAACAGAUACUGCCUAUGUAAAAGCAGCAAAUGUUACUGUAUGUAUGAUUCUUAUGGAACUCAGAAUACAUUUUCUCACAGAAACAAUGCAAAUAGGAGACUGUGGCCAGGUUCCCAAACAAGUUCCACAAGCCUAAUUAGGACCCAGUGAAAGGGAACUCAGGGAAUGACAGCAGAAGCCUUAGUUCUCAGAAAAAGCCAUCUCCUAUGGAAGAGAAAAGUUUCCUUUCCUCGUGGACGUUUCCUACAGACUCAGGAACUGGCAGAAUUUCAAAAGCAGUUUGCCUAUCACCAUCCUCCCACAUCUUUCUGUACACCCGGCUCAUAUACCAGUGACCCUCUGCAGUGACACUAUGGAUCCCAUACUCACACCUCCCGUACCACCUCCACGCUCAAUGGAUUCCAUUCUCCAAAAUCUUUUUCUCUUGCCACCAUAUUCUCAUUCUCUCAAUAUAACUGAUUUCAGAUGAACAUCAGAAGGAAACGCCAAUUAGAAUCAAUGUAUGAAUAAUUAGUAAUUUAAACUAUACUUACUAAUCUCAAUAAUUAUCUGAUUGGUGGGUUUUAAAUAGUAUUACAAAGAGAAGCAAAAAAUAUCAGGCAAGAAAGAUCUUGUAGAGGUAGAUCGACCCUUCCUGAGAGUCGAUCUCCCAGCAUACACAACCCUUCCUCCAUCAGGCCUCCCCAAACCCGUUUCAAAACACACAUUCUGCGUUCUUGUACCACAUAUUCAUUUGUCCCCUUCUACAUACUUUUAACAGUACAGGUCUGUGGGAGGAGGUGGUCAUCUGUAAAUCAAGGACUGCCUGUAGAAUAAAUAGGCUUAGUCUGGUGGAAAUGUUAAAUACAGGUGUGACAUGUAAAUAAAACUCAACCUUCAGCUUUAUUGAACCACUGCACUCCUCACACUCACAAACCAUUCAUCUGGAAUUAGAUCUCAAAAACCUCACUUUGUUCACAGGUGAUCUCUGGCAUUUGCCUUCAUCACUCAAGCUGCCAUUAACAAAUAAAAUCUGCCUAUAUUCAGUAUUAGUUCCGAACUCUUGCUGUCUGAAAAACAAACAUAUCAGCAUAAAGUGACUUUUCUCCUUCAGGAAGUGAAAGAUCUUAUUGCCUUGUCUGCACCCUUUAAAUCAUCCAACCCAGGGAAACUGACUCUUGAACUUCAGGAUCAUGUGAAAAAAUCAACCGUACCUUACAAAUAUCCAAGAAAGGCAAGUAUUUUGCCCAAAAGUUAAAGUGUGUGUUACCAGAUAAGGGUCUAAGCUAGUAAGUAUAUAGAUUUUAUUAGCUUUUGACUUUAUAGUAACUCAUUACAUAAGUAGAAGACACCUAUUUCAACCUGUUUAACCCUAAGAAUUUUGCUUUAAAAUAUAUUAGGAUACUAUAAACGCUUGAUAAACUGUAAGUUUUUACCAACUCCAAUACUGAGUAACCAACAACUGUAAGUGAGCAAAAGUGAGGCCAUCUUGUUAUGCUAAGUUGCCCCAGCCCCUCUGUGUGACUACUUGCUGCUUUGCACGUACCCUAAGAAAUUAAAAUACUCUCCUGAUUUAUGGCCUCCGCUUACAUAUAUACUCCCCAAUAGCUUGAUAAAUUAAAACUUUGUUCUAUGAGUUUCUCUCCAGGAACAGGCUGACCACAGGUGGGAAACACACUUACAAGGUAUCCAUCACAGCUGACAGAAGAAUAGAACAAUAAAAGACCCUGAAGUCUGUCUGGCUGAAAGAAACCCCCUCCUUACUGCCCAUUUCCCCAUACAACUACCUCAAGAUUCUGUAAUUUUUGGAAGAUGGUAUUUUGAGACACUAGUCUGCCAUCUUCCCAAUUAUGCCGGCUAAUUGAGUUAAAACUUGCUUUCUCCAUCCCUAAUUAAUUGGCUCAGAACAUGGCAAGCAGAGAGAACCCAUUGCUCAGUAUCACUACUAAGGAUCCUUAUCAUACUAAUCAGUCUCAUUCCAUGAGGAAAAAAGAUAGUGGCCAAUUGUUUUUACAGACAACACCUGAUUCACCUCUCAUAGUACACUUAGGCCAUAAUACUCUUAUAAAUCCAAAGCAUGUGUCUGUAAGUACCAAGUGACUGAAUUUAAGGCUCAGGAAGAAGAAAUUAUCCAAAGAAACUGUGGAAUCUUUCCUGAAACCUUCUUCUUCAAAGGAGGGAUUUAAGAAUAAUUCUAUAUAAAGACUCAGAGAUGGCACUGCAAUUUCCUUCUAGUCCCAGAAUCCUACUGGCUGAUAUUCACUGAUCCUCUACAUGAGAAUUCCAUUUCAAGUGGCAUCAAUUCAGCUAAAAGGUAGUUAAUUUCAACCAAAGAAUGUGUAACAUUUUCUCUAUUAAAUUCAAAAAAUCAAUGACAAGUUGAUUUUCAGAAAUGUUUGAGGACAUUUUAAAAUACAGUAGCCCUAUCUUGAGGGAGGGGAACAAAGAGAAUUUUACUAUCUAGCCAGGGCACAGGGGAAAAUUGUAUAUACUCUAAAUUAUCUCUCAAAAGUCUCCCCUAGACACUCCAGGACCCAGCUCUUAAAAGCUCAAGAGCCAAGAAUUAACUUGCUGUUUCUCUUUGCUUUUAGCUGAAGCCUCUACUUCCCUGGGGCAGUAGAGGCCUAGGUCUGGUUUAAACUGGGGAAAAGCAAGGGAGUCAAGAGAUUAUUUUAUUCUUCCGGAAAAGCAUAUAGGUGAAUCUGCACUAAACUCUCAUAUGAUGGAGCUCCGCUGUCUUCUUUACUAUAUAAACAACAGUUUCUGGUGUCCAAUAAAUUCAAUGAGCUUAGGCUAAGAAAAGCCCCAGAGUCUGGAACUCAAUGCCAGAGUUUCAAGAAAACUCUCUCCUAUUGUACUGACAGCUGGGAUAGUCAAAAUGGAAUCAAGUGUCUCAUAAUAUGUUUCUCUGUUACUUAGGUGGAAUUUGUUCAAGAAUUCCCAAAGACUGGGCCGGCCCGGUGGUGCAGUGGUUAGGUGUGCACGUUCCGCUUCGGCGGCGUGGGGUUCACCGGUUUGGAUCCCGGGUGCGGACAUGGCACUGCUUGGUGUGCCAUGCUGUGGUAGG